GAACGCGAGAGGUCGUCGGUUCGAGUCACGCAUCGUCCAUAAAAUUUUGUUUUCAGUUUAACUUCAGUAAGUUGUCUGCGAUUUGGUCUUUACUUCCAUAAUCAGACAUAACUACGUAACUAUGUUAAUUUGAGGGCAAUUGGAGCUGCGUGAUGCUCACAGGUCGUGACUGGCGGUCUGGUGUGACAAUUCCGCGCGCGGUUCUUGUAUGGUUUGCAGCUCGGAUAUAAAUGUGUGACAGAGAAUGUGCAGGUGGAGUCGUGACUGUGAGCUGGACUUUCCCGAUCAUGGCAGCCGCGCUGUCUCCAGGAGUCGUGUUGUUCGCUCUGGUGCUGUGCCCGACCCCUAGCAUACCCGUUUACCACGAGCCUGAGCAUCCGCUGUCGUCACGGCUCAGCCCCUGGCCCCGACUGCUGGGGCCGCUGCGAGACGAAGACCAGCCCCGUAUACCUCUACCCUCGCCGCAGGAGGUGGAGGCCAUCAGGCGGGUGGCACAGGUGC